rnacentral:ncRNA from 2 species
CACCGAUAAAGGCAAAACCAGUGAAAACUGGUGACGCAAAGCUAUAGGGUCUUCCCCAUGUAAUAAAUGGGUUGACAGCCAGCUACCGAA